GAUGAACGCUGGCGGCGUGCCUAAUACAUGCAAGUCGAGCGAACGGACGAGAAGCUUGCUUCUCUGAUGUUAGCGGCGGACGGGUGAGUAAAACGUGGAUAACCUACCUAUAAGACUGGGAUAACUUCGGGAAACCGAAGCUAAUACCGGAUGAUAUUUUGAACCGCAUGGUUCAAAAGUGAAAGACGGUCUUGCUGUCACUUAUAGAUGGAUCCGCGCUGCAUUAGCUAGUUGGUAAGGUAACGGCUUACCAAGGCAACGAUGCAUAGCCGACCUGAGAGGGUGAUCGGCCACACUGGAACUGAGACACGGUCCAGACUCCUACGGGAGGCAGCAGUAGGGAAUCUUCCGCAAUGGGCGAAAGCCUGACGGAGCAACGCCGCGUGAGUGAUGAAGGUCUUCGGAUCGUAAAACUCUGUUAUUAGGGAAGAACAUAUGUGUAAGUAACUGUGCACAUCUUGACGGUACCUAAUCAGAAAGCCACGGCUAACUACGUG
rnacentral:rRNA from 1 species